CCUACGGGUGGCAGCAGUGGGGAAUAUUGCACAAUGGGGGAAACCCUGAUGCAGCGACGCCGCGUGAGUGAAGAAGUAAUUCGUUACGUAAAGCUCUAUCAGCAGGGAAGAAAUACUGACCUUACGGUCAGCAGACGGUACCUGAGUAAGAACCCCCGGCUAACUACGUGCCAGCAGCCGCGGCAAUACGUAGGGGGCAAGCGUUAUCCGGAUUUACUGGGUGUAAAGGGAGUGUAGACGGGGCGCCAAGUCUGGAGUGAAAUGCCGUAGCUUAACUGUGGAACUGCUUUGGAAACUGGCGAACUAGAGUGCGGGAGGGGUAAGCGGAAUUCGUAGUGUAGCGGUGAAAUGCGUAGAUAUUAGGAGGAACACUGGUGGCGAAGGCGACUUACUGGAACGUAACUGACGUUGAGGCUCGAAAGCGUGGGGAGCAAACAGGAUUAGAUACCCUAGUAGUC
rnacentral:rRNA from 1 species